rnacentral:rRNA from 1 species
AGCGAACGCUGGCGGCAGGCCUAACACAUGCAAGUCGAGCGCCCAGCAAUGGGAGCGGCAGACGGGAUAGUAACACGUGGGAACGUACCUUUCAGUUCGGAACAACCAAGGGAAACUUUGGCUAAUACCGAAUACGCCCGUAAGGGGAAAGAUUUAUCGCUGAAUGAUCGGCCCGCGUCUUAUUAGCUGGUUGGUGAGGUAAUGGCUCACCAAGGCGAAGAUAAGUAGCUGGUCUGAGAGGAUGAUCAGCAUCACUGGGACUGAGACACGGCCCAGACUCCUCCGGGAGGCAGCAGUGGGGAAUAUUGGACAAUGGGCGCAAGCCUGAUCCAGCCAUGCCGCGUGAGUGAUGAAGGCCUUAGGGUUGUAAAGCUCUUUCGUCAGGGAAGAUAAUGACGGUACCUGAAGAAGAAGCCCCGGCUAACUUCGUGCCAGCCGCCGCCGUAACAC